rnacentral:rRNA from 1 species
ACAGCAGCCGCCGCGGUAAUACCGAGGGUGCGAGCGUUAAUCGGAUUUACUGGGCGUAAAGCGUGCGUAGGCGGCUUCUUAAGUCGGAUGUGAAAUCCCUGAGCUUAACUUAGGAAUUGCAUUCGAUACUGGGAAGCUAGAGUAUGGGAGAGGAUGGUAGAAUUCCAGGUGUAGCGGUGAAAUGCGUAGAGAUCUGGAGGAAUACCGAUGGCGAAGGCAGCCAUCUGGCCUAAUACUGACGCUGAGGUACGAAAGCAUGGGGAGCAAACAGGAUUAGAUACCCGGGUAGUCCCUGUCUCUUAUAC